AUAUUGGACAAUGGGGGAAACCCUGAUCCAGCCAUCCCGCGUGCAUGAUGAAGGCCUUCGGGUUGUAAAGCACUUUUGGCAGGAAAGAAACGGCCCUGGCUACUAUCUGGAGCAACUGACGGUACCUGCAGCAUAAGCACCUGCUAACUACCUGCCAGCCGCCGCGAUAAUACGUAAGAUGCAAGCGUUAAUCGGAAUUACUGGGCGUAAAGCGUGCGCAGGCGGUUCGGACAGAAAGAUGUGAGAUCCCAGGGCUUAACCUGGGAACUGCAUUUUUAACUACCGGGCUAGAGUGUGUCAGAGGGAGGUGGAAUUCCGCGUGUAGCAGUGAAAUGCGUAGAUAUGCGGAGGAACACCGAUGGCGAAGGCAGCCUCCUGGGAUAACACUGACGCUCAUGCACGAAAGCGUGGGGAGCAAACAGG
rnacentral:rRNA from 1 species